rnacentral:rRNA from 1 species
CCUACGGGAGGCAGCAGUGAGGAAUAUUGGUCAAUGGGCGUAAGCCUGAACCAGCCAAGUCGCGUGAGGGAUGAAGGUUCUAUGGAUCGUAAACCUCUUUUAUAAGGGAAUAAAGUGAGGGACGUGUCCUGUUUUGUAUGUACUUUAUGAAUAAGGAUCGGCUAACUCCGUGCCAGCAGCCGCGGUAAUACGGAGGAUCCGCGCGUUAUCCGGAUUUAUUGGGUUUAAAGGGUGCGUAGGCGGCCUUUUAAGUCAGUGGUGAAAGUCUGUGGCUCAACCAUAGAAUUGCCGUUGAAACUGGGAGGCUUGAGUAUAUUUGAGGCAGGCGGAAUGCGUGGUGUAGCGGUGAAAUGCUUAGAUAUCACGCAGAACCCCGAUUGCGAAGGCAGCCUGCCAAGCCAUGACUGACACUGAUGCACGAAAGCGUGGGGAUCAAACAGGAUUAGAUACCCGUGUAGUC